rnacentral:rRNA from 1 species
CAUAGCGACUAUCGUGGCAUAUCAAUAAGCGGAGGAAAAGAAACUAACAAGGAUUCCCUUAGUAACGGCGAGUGAAGCGGGAAGAGCUCAAAUUUGAAAUCUUCAAGGUUCUACCUUGACGAAUUGUAGUUUAUAGAAGUGUUUUCUGUUAGUAGAGUGGCAAAAGUUCUUUGGAAUAGGACAUCAUAGAGGGUGAGAAUCCCGUAUUUGGUCAUUCUUUCUAGCUUUGUGAUACACUUUCAACGAGUCGGAUUGUUUGGGAAUGCAGUCCAAAAUGGGUGGUAAAUUUCAUCUAAAGCUAAAUAUUGGCGAGAGACCGAUAGCGAACAAGUACCGUGAGGGAAAGAUGAAAAGAACUUUGAAAAGAGAGUUAAACAGUACGUGAAAUUGUCAAAAGGGAAGCGUUUGACACCAGUGUUGUUUUUCCGAAAAUCAAUUACGAAUGUUUUGUUUUUGAGGAAGUUAUGACUUCAUCGGCUUGCUUCUCUCUUUACGAAACUUUCUUAAUGCACUUUUCGGUUAACAAGUCAACAUCAAUUUCUUUUGUUGUAAAAGGGUACUGAGGAAGGUGGCUUUCUUUUCGGAGAAAGUGUUUAUAGCCUUUGGCUUCUGCAAUCGGAGAGAUUGAGGUCUGCAGCGUAGAUCCUUCGGGGUUAGAUACAUUGGUGCUAAGCUAUAGCCUUGUAUAGACAACUUGUUGACUAUGCUCAGUCAUUGUAGCUUACUCGCUUAUGCUAUUUUACCUACGCUUAGGAUGUUGAUAUGCAUGACUGAUAU